UCCGGUGUAGCUCAGUUGGUAGAGCACCUGGCUGUUAACCAGGGCGUCGCAGGUUCGAGCCCUGCCGCCGGAGCCA
rnacentral:tRNA from 1 species